GCCGGCAGCCAGCCAAUCAGGCUCUUGCUAAUCAGACAUGCUGAAUAACAAAGCCAGGGGGACAGAGAAAGUGUAACAGUGCGAGCGAGAAAGGGAGGAAAGGACGAAAAAGAAACGAGAGCGGAGGAGCGCGCAGCAGAACCAGAAGAGAAAUGCAAACGAUGCAGAAUUGCAAAAGAUGAAGCAGAGCCCUGUGCGGUUAACUAACCUGCAAGAGGUUGGACGAGGAGAUGACCGUCCCCAUCCAGUCCAGCCCUGGAGGAAGUACUGAUGACCAGCGAAAUGAUGACGGGGCCAGGCCAGCAACAGCAAAGAGAAGCCCUCAGCCAUAUGUUGAAUGCUCAGAGGAUGCCCGCCACAAUGUGUCAAGCUUCUGGUCCCUUUGUGAGUAGCGUUUCCCUUCCAGAGAAAUGAGGAAAAGCAACUGUACAGUCAAGCAUUACACCCUGCAGUGCAAACUCCCGGCUGACUGUAAUUUCAGAAAAAGAAGAACAAAAUCAAGUUGCGUUAUGGUGACUGGGGUAUCUAAAUGAAAGCCGUCUGCCAGUGUCUGAGUACCAGCAGCUGCCGCCGCAGCAGCAGUGGUGACGGCCCCAGCUGCUGUAAUACUGGUUACGGCCCCCCCUGCACAAUAUAUUAGGUGAAAUGAAAGCAGAAGCAAGAGAGAGAGUAUCAGAGCUGUCUGAAGCAUCAUUCCAAAUGAAACCUGGACCGAUUCUUUAACAGAGGAGAAAACUGAGGCAUGGAGAAUUAAAUUACUUGUCAAGAUCAUAUACCCAGAGAGGGGAAGGCCCAAGAUCUGAACCCAGGUCAUCUGUGUUCAUAACCACUAGACAGCACUGCCUCUUUGUAGAGCAAAGGGCCACAGGAGUUCAGAGAAGGGAGAGGUCAUUGCUGGUCUGAGGACUCAGUGAGGAGUAAGAAUCCAGAUGGAAAAAAUGGAAAUUGAAAAAGACCUUGAGAUCUAUGGAGACUUUUAGGGUUGCAAAGAAAAAGGGAAAGCCUGUGCAAGUGAAGAGAACAGAGUAAACAGAGAGAAACCAGGGACAUAUGAGACCCAUGCUUGACUCACGCCGACCCACUAUUUUAGGCUGCUUAUAGGGUAAAGAUACAUUUUUUAAAAUUCUUUGUCCCAUAGUCUCAGAUCCCAUACUCAGUGAUCUCCCCCUACAAAGUGUCUAGCACUGCAUGUUACAUGUGGAAGGCACACAACAAAAUUUAAAAUUUGAUUUGACUCAUCUCUCGCUUCCUGAAGCACUAGGAGCCUCUGCUUACAUCUCUUCCUAUUGUCUACAAGGCUGAAUUCAGGGCUGCUCACACUGUAGGGACUUGGUUAGAAUCUGUGAGCCUGGCCAGCAGCAGAGAAGAACUCUGGUGGCUGCUUGGAGGAGGGGAAAGAACCCAGAUUUUGGAGCCAGACGGUCCCAGCUGUCCUAGUUACCACCAGCAGGGCUCUAAGGAAAUGAAUUGCUGAAAGUCCCUGAACCCACUCUUUUGCUUGUUUGGUUUUUGUUUUAAGCUGUUAAAUGAGGAGACUACUGUUCAGGACUGCAGGGCUGUUGUGGGCGGCGGAGCGAGGGGUUUGCAGAGUCUGGCUCAGAGUUUGGUACUAAAUAAGAGAUCGAUAAAUCUUUACCAAGUUAGGCGGUGGCUAUGUGAGUGUCCAUUGUACAUGUGUUUCAUCUAUUCUAUGUGCUUGAAAAUUCUAAUAAAAUUCUGGGAUAAAAUCAUUAUCAUAAUUUAGAUUCUAAUUCUAGGACACCCUCUUCCCUGGAAAAGAACAAAUAAACAAACAAGCAAGCAAACUGAUUAAUAGAGCACUGAACUGCACUGGGAGGAUAGAAUUAUUCAUCACCUUCAAACUGGUGGUUCUCGUUCUUCCUUUUUCUACAUUGCUGGGGUUACAUCAUGGAUCUCAGAGACUUGUUAUUGAAGUAGAGUCAACAAAACACUUAUUAAGCACCUACUGUGUGCAAGGCAUGAUAAAUAGAGAAUUCUGGCAACAAACUGUCUUUCAUAGCCUUUUUGACACAGAGAGACACCAGUUUAAUCUUCAAGGUUUGAAUUAUGGUUGUAACAGUCACAUAUUAAACCCAAGUGUAAUAUAUAAAUCCAAGGCCCUUGAUUCUUAGUUCAGCACUAUUUCCAUGACAUCAUCCUCUACAGAUAAAAUAAUUAUCCCAGAGCCAGACAAUAGGUGAAGGGGUGUGAACAGAUUUACAGACAAUAUAGAGAGAGCAGGAUUAAAAUGCAAAAGCCAAAUUCCUCAGCCUGGCAUUCAAGGAUCUCCCUGAUCCGCUUCCUGUCCCAGGAUACUAGAAAGUCCUGCUCCAGCCCAAUUGAAAUACCUGAUUGACUCCAAUACUCCAAAUCCCCCCACUUCUGUGUAUUUGUUCAUCUUGUCCCUUCUGCCUGGAAGAUCCUUCCUCCCACCUCUGCUUCUCUAAAAAUCCUUUUCAUUCUUUAAGGUGUAGACAAUGCCAGCUCCUCCACAAAGCCUUGUACAUAAUGGGCAUUAGAUAAAUAUUCGUUAAAUUCAUGCAGGCAUUAAUUAACAUAUGCUAUGUCUACAGAUACGGUAGCAGGAAAAAAGAAAAACAAGAGGAAGAAAAGCGAGCAGAAU